UGACGCUCCGACUAGCCUCCAACGAAUUCUCCAAGCAUGACAUUUGUCCUCAUAUGCAUCCAAUGUUCCACAUUCAUUCCACCCACAUGCCUCCCACAUCCUGCUGAGACCACCUGAAGAGAGAAACCAUCAUUCUAAACCAAGCUUCAUCCCUCUGUUGUGUGGGGAAGGUCUUUGAAGAAGGAACGAUAGGAGGAGGAAUGAGAUUCAAGGCUGAGCUCUCUCAUGGACUCUGAUAUAUAAGAUAAAGAAAACUCUAGAAAAAGGAAAAGAGGGUGAACUAAGGUGAAGAAAAGAAGGAAGGCUCCCUAUAAAUAAAGCCCUUAGAGGAUUUUUAGAAGAGAAGAGAAAUUAAAGCAGCAGAUACAGAGGAAGGGAAGGUAGAGAUGGGAAAGUAUGUGGAGAUAUUGGAUUUAGGGGUGAUGACCGUUACUCAUUUCAACUCUCAUUGUCCUUAGACGGCAAGGAUGUACUACCACCCUCCUUCCAACUCUAACGACAACCACCAAAUCCACAGCAACUUCCUCCUUCAAAGCGGUGGCACCAUCGGUUGCGAUGCAGCCUUAAAAGUCUCUACUUGGUAGGGUAGUUGCAGUGCGAAGGCUGUGGGUGUCAACCCUACAAACUUGAUUCUUAAUUCCAUUGUAUGACCCAAUACCCGAAGAAAAAAGAAAAAUCAAUCAUCGUUUGAGAAGGGGUUUUAUCAAACUGAUUUUUACCCCUUUCUUCUUCCUUUAUCAAAAGUUCCACUAUUUCUUGUUGAAUAAUAAUCUGAUUUGUGGGACAGAGCUAUUGAGUGAUUUCUAGUUGUUCUUGUUCAAGUCUUAUGGGUAUACUUCGAUUGAAUUUAAUCUAUUUUCGUUGUUGGGUUUU